AUUGAACGCUGGCGGCAGGCCUAACACAUGCAAGUCGAACGGUAACAGGAAGCAGCUUGCUGCUUCGCUGACGAGUGGCGGACGGGUGAGUCAUGUCUGGGAAACUGCCUGAUGGAGGGGGAUAACUACUGGAAACGGUAGCUAAUACCGCAUAACGUCGCAAGCCCAAAGAGGGGGACCUUAGGGCCUCUUGCCAUCGGAUGUGCCCAGAUGGGAUUAGCUAGUAGGUGGGGUAACGGCUCACCUAGGCGACGAUCCCUAGCUGGUCUGAGAGGAUGACCAGCCACACUGGAACUGAGACACGGUCCAGACUCCUACGGGAGGCAGCAGUGGGGAAUAUUGCACGAUGGGCGCAAGCCUGAUGCAGCCAUGCCGCGUGUAUGAAGAAGGCCUUCGGGUUGUAAAGUACUUUCAGCGGGGAGGAAGGGAGUAAAGUUAAUACCUUUGCUCAUUGACGUUACCCGCAGAAGAAGCACCGGCUAACUCCGUG
rnacentral:rRNA from 1 species